AAUCCGUUGAAUGAAGAAGUCUUUUUGGCUCAAGCAGCUAGCGGACCUCCUUAAUUGAGAAAGUCAGCACGCCCCCUACCUAUGUAGUCGGCUUCCCGCUUUCAAUUGGAAGGGAUUCUGUUUCCGGUUAGGUUAACCUCUCAAUUUCAAUAGGGUAAGCUACUAGCUCUAACCGAACUUUCGGGUAUAUAUAAGUCCGACGAAAGACAACCCGCUUCUCAAAGGCGAGGAAGAACCGGCUUCAAGCAAUCGGUGUAAUGUAAU
rnacentral:misc_RNA from 1 species